rnacentral:misc_RNA from 1 species
GGGUGGGGGGGGAGAGGGGGAAGAGGAAAAAAACAAAGAAAGUGGAAAAUGGGCCCACCAAACACUUUCAUCUCAAUUUGGGGUGAAACUAAAUGAAUUCACUAAUUUUUCCUUACAUUUAAAUUUUUUAAUUAAUUAAAGUGAAUGAUAUUAAGAUAUUAUAGUAACCUGAAUCAAUACAAUAUAUUUCUUCCCCCACCCCUUUUCUCUUCCCUUUCCCAACAAUAAGAGAAAUUCAUUCUCACUCUCCUUCCUUUUCUUUCUCCUCUUACUUUUUUCCUUAAGUAUUACCUUUCUGAAGACCCAUAGCUGCUU